rnacentral:rRNA from 1 species
AUUGAACGCUGGCGGCAGGCCUAACACAUGCAAGUCGAACGGUAACAGGAAACAGCUUGCUGUUUCGCUGACGAGUGGCGGGCGGGUGAGUAAUGUCUGGGAAACUGCCUGAUGGAGAGGGAUAACUACUGGAAACGGUAGCUAAUACCGCAUAACGUCGCAAGACCAAAGAGGGGGACCCUCGGGCCUCUUGCCAUCGGAUGUGCCCAGAUGGGAUGAGCUUGUUGGUGGGGUAACGGCUCACCAAGGCGACGAUCCCUAGCUGGUCUGAGAGGAUGACCAGCCACACUGGAGCUGAGACACGGUCCAGACUCCUACGGGAGGCAGCAGUGGGGAAUAUUGCACAAUGGGCGCAAGCCUUAUGCAGCCAUGCCGCGUGUAUGAAGAAGGCCUUCGGUUUGUAAAGUACUUUCAGCGGGGAGGAAGGGAGUAAAGUUAAUACCUUUGCUCAUUGACGUUACCCGCAGAAGAAGCACCGGCUAACUCCGUG